GAGUUUGAUCUUGGCUCAGGACGAACGCUGGCGGCGUGCUUAACACAUGCAAGUCGAACGAUGAACCCCAGCUUGCUGGGGGGAUUAGUGGCGAACGGGUGGAGUAACACGUGAGUAACCUGCCCUUGACUCUGGGAUAAGCGUUGGAAACGACGUCUAAUACCGGAUAUGACCCCUACCGGCAUCGGUUGGGGGUGGAAAGAUUUUUUUGGUCAAGGAUGGACUCGCGGCCUAUCAGGUAGUUGGUGAGGUAAUGGCUCACCAAGCCGACGACGGGUAGCCGGCCUGAGAGGGUGACCGGCCACACUGGGACUGAGACACGGCCCAGACUCCUACGGGAGGCAGCAGUGGGGAAUAUUGCACAAUGGGCGAAAGCCUGAUGCAGCAACGCCGCGUGAGGGAUGACGGCCU
rnacentral:rRNA from 1 species